rnacentral:tRNA from 1 species
GCCCUUGUGGCGGAAUGGUAGACGCGGUAGACUCAAAAUCUAUUAUCUGCAAGGAUGUGCUGGUUCAAGUCCGGCCAGGGGCACCA